UGCUCGGUGCUGCGCGGUGAAACGCGGUCCUGCUCGGUGCUGCGCGGUGCUGCACGGUCCUGGAAGAUCCUGCUCGGCCCUGCACGGUGCUGCGCGGUCCUGCUCGGUGCUGCACGGCCCUGCUCAGUGCUGCACGGUCCUGCUCGGUGCUGCGCGGUGCUGCACGGUCCUGGAAGAUCCUGCUCGGUCCUGCGAGGCCCUGCUCGGUGCUGCACGGUCCUGGAAGGUCCUGCACAGCCCUGCUCCGCCCUGCGCGGCCCUGCACGGUGCUGCUCGGUGCUGCACGGUCCUGCUCUGUCCUGCGAGGCCCUGCUUGGUCCUGCUCGGUCCUGCACGGUGCUGCGCGGCCCUGCUCGGUCCUGCACGGUGCUGCUCGGUGCUGCACGGCCCUGCUUGGUGCUGCACGGUCCUGCUCGGUGCUGCACGGUGCUGUGCGGCCCUGCACGGUGCUGCACGGUCCUGCACCGCCCUGCACGGUCCUGCACGGCCCUGCUCGGUGCUGCACGGCAUUGCUCGGCCCUGCUCAAUGCUGCACGGUCGUGCACCGCCCUGCACGGUCCUGCACUGCCCUGCUCGGUGCUGCUCGGUGCUGCACGGCACUGCUCGGCCCUGCACGGUCCUGCACAGCGCUGCUCGGUCCUGCACCGCCCUGCAGGGUGCUGCUCAGUGCUGCACGGUCCUGCACGGCCCCGCACUUCCCUACACCGCCCUGCACAGCCCUGCACCUCCCUGCACGGCCCUACACCGUCCUGCACGGCCCUGCACUUCCCUGCUCGGCCCUGCACCGUCCUGCACGGUCCUGCACAGUCCUGCACCGUCCUGCACGGCCCUGCACCGUCCUGCACUGUCCUGCACGGCCCUGCAGCGUCUUGCACCGCCCUGCACCCUUCUGCACAGUCCUGCACCCGCGCAGCUGCCUGCUGGGGCGGCGGGACCGUGCGCCUUAGCAAGACUGCCAACCUGCUUUGGAGGCCUCGUUCAUGCCAUCAUCAAAAACAAAAACAAACAAACAAAAAAACACCACCACCCUGCAGGGAGGUGCGAGAUUCCCUGGUCCGGGCGUGCACACACAGGACUGUGAGAGCAACAGGACCACCCAUCAUCAGUCGGGCAAACACAGGACAAAUCCGUGUGAGGAGAAGCAGCUUCACUCUUUGUAAUUCUACAUCUGCCCAGUGUAUGCUUUACUCAGUGACCAGACAUAAGCACACUUGUAUGGACACAGGCCCCAUAUUUUCCCUAAUGACCCUUCUCCCGUGA
rnacentral:lncRNA from 12 species